rnacentral:lncRNA from 1 species
UGUAUUUGUCGACUACCGGUACACUGGAUAGCGAUGCAAGCGCGUGAGCUCAAAAGAUAACAACAGUGUACUGAGCUAAGCUGAGUGGUGUGUUUGGCGUGUGUGUGCUCGCCGUUGUUGAGAUGCAUUUGGUACGGUAGCGAAGUGUUUGCUAGUGAAUGCGAAUGCAGGACGCCGUCGACGGUAAUCUCACACGAAUUGUCACCAUGGAAUCAAUACAUCUCCACGGAAAUAAGAAUAAGCGAAGAGUGAGUAAGCAGCUUUGCCCGUUUGCCUUAUUGCACCUGCUUUUGUUCGACGUGUUGCGUUUGUACCGGU